rnacentral:rRNA from 1 species
GACGAACGCUGGCGGCGUGCUUAACACAUGCAAGUCGAACGGAAAGGCCCUGCUUUUGUGGGGUGCUCGAGUGGCGAACGGGUGAGUAACACGUGAGUAACCUGCCCUUGACUUUGGGAUAACUUCAGGAAACUGGGGCUAAUACCGGAUAGGAGCUCCUGCUGCAUGGUGGGGGUUGGAAAGUUUCGGCGGUUGGGGAUGGACUCGCGGCUUAUCAGCUUGUUGGUGGGGUAGUGGCUUACCAAGGCUUUGACGGGUAGCCGGCCUGAGAGGGUGACCGGCCACAUUGGGACUGAGAUACGGCCCAGACUGCUACGGGAGGCAGCAGUGGGGAAUAUUGCACAAUGGUCGGAAGCCUGAUGCAGCAACGCCGCGUGCGGGAUGACGGCCUUCGGGUUGUAAACCGCUUUCGCCUGUGACGAAGCGUGAGUGACGGUAAUGGGUAAAGAAGCACCGGCUAACUACGUG